GCGGGCAUAGUUUAGUGGUAAAACCUCAGCCUUCCAAGCUGAUGACGCGGGUUCGAUCCCCGUUGCCCGCU
rnacentral:tRNA from 1 species